CUCGUUGGGCUUAUUGGAUCGAGCUCUCGAUUCAGCGCCGAGAACAAAAUCCAUAACGACCCAAAACCAAAAUCUGGGUUCACCAGGAAAGUCAUAAUCCGAAGGAAGACGAAGAGCUCACAACACCUCCUUAUCUCUUCUGUUACAGCGCCUGAUUGAAACUUGAAGAUGACACAGGGACUUCUCCAAUGGAGUCCUUGCCACCAAUCUCUCUCCCUUUCCUUCACUAUCCCCACAACCAAACACACCCAACUCCCACUCUCAAUCUCUGCCACACUAGAACCCGCCACCAGUACCCAACAACACCUCACUGCCAGAGAGAGAAGGCAGCUCAGGAACGAGAGGAGAGAGAGCAAAGCUGGUACCAAUUGGAAAGAACAGGUGGAGGAAAAGCUUCUGGAGAAGCCCACGAAGAAGUUCGCUAAUUGGAAGGAAGAGCUCAACAUUAAUAACCUCGCUCGUGAGGGCCCUCAAUGGUGGAUCGUUAAGGUCUCUCGACUCAAGGGCCAGGAGACUGCUCAGCUCAUCGCUCGCUUGCUUGCUAGGAACUACCCUCACAUUGAUUUUAAGGUGUAUGCUCCAGCUAUUCAUGAGAGGAAAAAAUUGAAAAAUGGUACUUACUCAGUUAAACCAAAACCCCUGUUCCCAGGAUGUGUGUUUAUAAGGUGUGUUUUGGACAAAGAGAUACAUGACUUCAUAAGAGAGUGCGAUGGAGUUGGAGGCUUUGUUGGUGCUUUGGUUGGAAAUACGAAAAGACAGAUCACCAGACCCAGGCCAGUUUCUGAGUUUGACAUGGAAGCUAUCUUCAGACAGGCAAAGGAAGAACAACAAAAAGCUGAACAAGCUUUUGAACAAGAUCAGCAAGAAGCAGCCCUCAACUCUGGGCUCAAUUCUGAUGAUGCUGUAAAAUCUACUGGAGAUUCUAAACCAAAAAGGCGAUCUAGAAAAACACUUGAACCUCUCAUAAAUGGUUCAUCUAAAGGAAAGAACGAGAAGCUCAUCCCAGGUUCUAGUGUACGAGUUGUAUCUGGGACUUUUGCAGAAUAUGUAGGCAGCCUCAAGAAGCUGAAUCGCAGAACAAAAAAGGCAACUGUGGGAUUUACGUUAUUUGGGAAAGAAAGCUUUGUAGAUUUAGAUGUCAGUGAAAUUGUUUCAGAGACCACGUAAAUAUGUUCAUCUCUCAUAAUCAUUAUUAAAUGGUUCUCAUUAUAAGUUGCUGAUGGUGCCAAGCACCAGUACAUGGGAAAAGAGGCGAAAGCUCAAUCAUGGCCAAUGAAAAAUAUGCAUUCAGGAUGAAAAUACAUUUUCUUGUACACACAGAUGAAUUGGAAAAAAAUUAGAAAGGGUUGUUCACCAUUUCUACAGAAGGAAUAAAAGGAGUAUGAUAUAAGUUGUGACAUGAACAGACGGUAAUUGGUAGUGAUGGUAGCUGGACCAGUUUUAGCAUUAGAGGGGUGCCAAUCCCAGAGGCAGCCUUUUCUAUGCUACUAACCGUGGCUUUGCCGGGAAGGCUAGCUGGACAGUUUUAUUAAGGCUCCAUGUAAGGGAUGAGGGACCAAAGGGUGUCAAUUAUUAGGGUUUAGCAUGAUGAAAGAGUGAGGGAAGUCUCUUUAGCACAAAAAUCUUCCUCCAGUUCAUGAAAACAAACCUGUCUAGAUUUACAGACUAAAAAAUUCUUCCUCUAAGAUGGUAAAUUAUACUCCUAAGUCCAAAGUCACUCCACUAACUUUGCUUUCCUGCUUCACUAUUGUUUAUUAUCAUCUUGGGUUCCUUCGUCAUUAUCUUAAUGGGCUGCUCUGUUAUUUAAUGGGGAUAAAAUUGCCUGCCUUAGAUGGUGGUCCUUGCUCAUUCGAUUUGUGAAAACUUAAAUCACAAAGCAAUUGAAUCUGCCAGCACAUACAAUAAAAGUGAUAUCUAUUGGACAGAAAAGUCAUGUUGGCUUUUGCACUCGAGCGUUGUAUGAUUACACACGUCCUAUAUCAUAUGCAUGUAUUUACUAUGAUUAUAAACUUUAUUAAAUAAUUUUCUCAACUUCUUAAUCCAAUUCUUAAUUUGAGUAAUGUUUAGUCAAAUGUUCAAUGGCUUUUCUUUUUCCGAAUCAAUGAGACAUGAAUUCGGCUGGACAUUAGACCUUUUCCCAAUAUUAGAAAG